rnacentral:tRNA from 1 species
GCCCUGGUGGCGGAACUGGCAGACGCGCACGGUUCAGAGCCGUGUGAGGCAACUCGUGGGAGUUCGACUCUCCCCCAGGGCA